UACGGAGGGUGCGAGCGUUAUUCGGAAUUACUGGGCGUAAAGCGCGUGUAGGCGGGAAGGCAAGUCUGAUGUGAAAGCCCCGGGCUUAACCUGGGAAGUGCAUUGGAAACUGCCACUCUUGAGUGCUGGAGAGGAAGGGGGAAUUCCCGGUGUAGAGGUGAAAUUCGUAGAGAUCGGGAGGAAUACCAGUGGCGAAGGCGCCCUUCUGGACGGCAACUGACGCUGAGACGCGAAAGCGUGGGGAGCAAACAGG
rnacentral:rRNA from 1 species